rnacentral:tRNA from 3 species
UGGAGCAUAGCUCAGUUGGUUAGAGCGCUUGACUUUUAAUCAAGGUAUUGUCAGUUCGAGUCUGACUGCUCCAG